GAUGAACGCUGGCGGCGUGCCUAAUACAUGCAAGUCGAGCGAACGGACGAGAAGCUUGCUUCUCUGAUGUUAGCGGCGGACGGGUGAGUAACACGUGGAUAACCUACCUAUAAGACUGGGAUAACUUCGGGAAACCGGAGCUAAUACCGGAUAAUAUUUUGAACCGCAUUGUUCAAAAGUGAAAGACGGUCUUUCUGUCACUUAUAGAUGGAUCCGCGCUGCAUUAGCUAGUUGGUAAGUUAACGGCUUACCAAGGCAACGAUGCAUAGCCGACCUGAGGGGGGGAUAGGCAAAACGGGAACUGAGAAACGGACAAGAAACCAAGGGGAGGAAGAAGUAGGAAAUGUGCAGAAAUGGGGGAAAGCGUGAAGGAGAAAAGCGGGGGGAGUGAUGAAGGUCUGCGGAUGGUAAAACUCUGUUAUUAGGGAAGAACAUAUGGUAAGUAACUGUGCACAUAUUGACGGUAACUAAUCAGAAAGCCACGGCUAACUACGUG
rnacentral:rRNA from 1 species